CGUCGUUGAUUGGAUGGCUCACUGCACCGGUCGUGCUCAGCACAGAGUUUCGCGGGUGAAACAACAGAGGUGAUACGUGGAUUACAAAUCGCAGGCUCUCGUCGUUGUUUGGAACUUUAUUUAGUUUGUUUUGGAUCAGUUUUCUCCGUGAGGUCUGCUCCAUGAACCUGCCUCUCAUAAUCCCGUGCGUGCUUUAUUUACUGCAUUUAAAUGACUUUUUCUCUGGAAAAUUUGUCGUUCCAUAUUUGCUGCCUCCUAACCCGAGUUUAUGACUCAACGAGAUUCCUCGAACGAACAAGUUUUUCAUUCUCGUUCGUUCACUUUUUCCCGAACCCACGCGAUUCCGAGUGUAGACUGUUGUCCUCUGGAAAAAGUGAGUUUUUUUUCCGGGUUAAUGGAACCAUAACUCUUCUUGGCCGCGAAUAAAAGACGCAAUUCCCGUGUAUCAUUUUGAAAUUGACCUGCGUUGUCUUACGCUACGAUCUCUACCGCCUCCGUGUUGACAUUGGCGGUGCAUCUCUUUUUGGACCGGUGACGUUUGGGAGUCGAUUCGUUUUGAAUCGGAAUGAGGAUGUACGGCACACGGAACAGCCAGAAGAACACAGUAGAGAACAAGGCCAGAGAGAAAACAAUGAAGAUAGGAGAAGAACACGGAAAUACCCGAACUGGGCCUGGUGACGGUGACUUCGAUAGUUCACGGUUAUCCCUCUUCUCGUGGCCGGCAUUUUGAAUUCAACUAUUAUUCUUUGGUUUUUAAAUGUUAUGACUUUUCUUUUUUUAUCGGGAACGUAAAGCUUCAUGUGCCGCCUGGCUAAUAAAUACUUUGGGCUUCGAGAUAUUUCGGAAUUCAGUGUUCGCGAAAUGAUAUUCUAAUUCGAGGGUUUCGUUUGGGAGUCUGAUAUUGCGGGUGGUGGUAGGAGGACUUCCGGUAUCGCUGUUUUGUCGGGAAUUUUUUAAUAACAAUUAGGGAAUUUAAUUUAUUUUGUUGUAAUGUAUUUGAUGUAUAGAAUAAUAUCGACGAUUUUUAUUCAAAUUAAUUAAAAGUGGCUCUAUUUUGAGAAAAACGGAAGUCGCCCUAACGUUAAUGAAGUUGGACAGGUAAAACGAUAAUUUUGCAUAUCGGUGGAAACACAGUGAUUGAAUUUACCGGAAUAAUGAUCGCGGUCCGGAAAAUUCACGGCAAAUGUUAAACAUUAAAUCAAUUAUAAUUUUUUUGUCCAUUAUGGCAUCGAUAUUCACGAACAUGAAGCAACAUAAUUACCUGAGUUCAUUAGUAACAAUUUGACAAUAAUAUUUUACCUGUAUUACCGCCGAUUUGCAGAUGUAAUUCCAUAGGAAAUAAACAAAAACAAAGGGAUGAUGUUUUAUGAAAGCAAAUUCAUGAAUUUGUUAGUAGAUGAAUCAAAUGAUGUGUAUCAUGAUAUUAAUGAUUCUAUGUCAGGAUCCUGUAAUUCGAUCAGUUUAAUUUUAAUGUUAACACCAUCACCAAUUAACACCAAAAUUACUUGAUUACCGCAUUUUUUGAUUUUUCUGUCAUUAAACAAGUUUGUGCAAACUGUAUGAUCAUCGUGCAAUUAAUGAUCGACUGAAAUAAGCAAGAAAGAAAUUAAUCUACGUUUGCCUAUUCAAUAUGAAGGUCGGGAGGCAAUUUAUUUUUAUUUUUAUAAUGGUUGCAUCAUAAUUGAAACUGCGAUAAAAAUGGACUUUUUGAACGAGGAACUGUUGUUAAGUAACAAUCGCGACGCCAUAUAAAGCCGUCGUCUAUUGUACUUCAAAUAUCUGACACAUCUACAGAUAUCUAACACAUUAUUCUCGAAUACAAUCUUUGUUCUCUGUUAUUUUGAUGAGAAUCUGUUUCAUUGUGAGGUUGGUUGCAAAUUAUAUUUUCUAGAAUUGUUAUUUCAGUAUAUGCACAAACUUCUUCAAUGUCUGAAAGCCCUAGGUAUGUAAUAGCCAGGUGUUCAAAACACCAAAUACUGUACCCUCGCCUUUUUCUACAGUUAUACCUCACUUAUUGCCACUGUAAGCCUUUUUACAGAGGUUGAAUAAGUUUGAAGUUUCAACUAUCCACUGCUUCUAAACACUAAAACUUGUUUACCUAUCUGUAUAUUCAAAUGGUAAGAAACAGUAAAUAUCUCUAAUAGAAAAUUCUACUAAUACUUUCAUAAAGUGACUAAUUAGGCAAUCGAUCACAUAGAUCAAUAAGGCUAAAAUUCAAAUGAUUUCUAAGAUAGUCAUAAGUUUCUGAGGUAGUCAUAAAAACUGUCAUUACGUAUAAAAAUAUUUAAAAUUAUAAAUAUGUUUUUAUAGACUUUGAGUUGAUCAAAGAUUGUUAAAGUGUUACAUACUUUUAUCAAUUUCAACUAUCAAUUGUGUCAUUCAAGACUAGGUAUUUCAAUACUUCCUUCCAAAUAUGGUUUUUAAAUUUGUCUCGUUGUUGAUACAAUUCUCAAAUAUAAAGGUGUGGAUAGUGAAACUUCUAUGGCGAGCUGAGAAUCUGGUCUAACUCGAGUGAAGCUUUAGUACCUGCGUCUAGAAUAAUGUCUCCCACGUCCCCGUAACCGUCGUCAUCGCCGUUGUAAAAGUCACCGCCGCCGGUCUCCAGAAAGCCAGAAUGUGAAAAAGUGUCCUCAGGAUUUUCACGCAGCCAUUGGACAUUACCUAAUGUUCCUUUGUUGGCGGACCUGCACCCGAACCACCAGUAGGCCGUCGAUCUUGGGAACGCUGGAUCAGCAACGUCCACCUGAGGAUUUUGUGUAAGAUACACAGGGGCAUCGGCAUCAGUGCUAGAGUAGAAAACGAGGGAGCCAGUACACGCAAGGACAGCGGAAGCUCAGUCUCACAGCCUUGUUUCGGUAAGAAUCGAUCAGAUCGCGAGAGCGCCUCCGAUUAAAUAUAUUCGUGGAUUGGAAAAAAGGAAAAAAUGGACCCGUGGCGAUCUCGUUUCUCAAUUGUUUGAGUUCCACGCAACGCGAUCGCAUUAUUUAGAUUUUAUAUCGGAAAUACCUAGAUCUGGCGAUGUAUUUGAAUUUUACUGAUGCCUUUACGUUGCGUUAUUCAUUUCUUUCAUUUAUACCAUACAAUUAAUACAUUUAGUUUUCAUUGGGUCGUAUGUAUAUAAAAAAUUAAUUUUUACAAGCGUUAAGCAAAAGUAAAUGUUAGAUUCCUUAAUAAUUGUACUCUAUUAAUUCCUUAAUAAUGUUAGGUUCCUGCGUCAUCCUUUACCAAUAUCAGACAAUAAAUACUGAAAAAUUUGAAGUAAAUAAAAGAUUUUAGCAGAGGUUAUUAUCAAAAUAAUUUUAAUUAAAGCUAUCAGCAGGAAUUAAAAACGAGUGAAAUUACAAUAGUAUUUACUUGCUUUUAGUAAAUAUUAAGAGUUAUGCAUACGAAUUUUAAGUACCUAUUGAAAAAUUCAAUAAAUAUUUCAUUCUUUAUGUUUA